rnacentral:misc_RNA from 1 species
GAUGAAGAACGCAGCGAAAUGCGAUACUUGGUGUGAAUUGCAGAAUCCCGUGAACCAUCGAGUCUUUGAACGCAAGUUGCGCCCGAAGCCAUUAGGCCGAGGGCACGCCUGCCUGGGCGUCACACGUCGUUGCCCCCCCAUCUACUCCUUCGGGAUGGCGGGGGGCGGAUGAUGGCCUCCCGUGCGCCUCGUCGCGCGGUUGGCCUAAAUGCCAAGUCCUCGGCGACGCACGCCACGACAAUCGGUGGUUGCGAAACCUCGGUUGCCUGUCGUGUGCGGUCGUCGCGCAUCGAGGGCUCGAAAAAAUUGCCGGGCUUCGGCUCGACUUUCAACGCGACCCCAGGUCAGGCGGGGUUACCCGCUGAAUUUAAGCAUAUCAAUAAGCGGAGGA